UAUGGCAGAUUAGUGCAAAGAACUUAAAAUUCUUAAAUAAAGACUUUUCAUUCUUUUAUUAAAA
rnacentral:tRNA from 2 species